UAUGGCUAUAACUAUGUUGAAGGUUAGAGCUGAAGAUUAGAGAAGGAAACAGGACUGGGAAGGGAUGAAUAAAGCAGGGAUAUAAUGCCCCUGUGGAUGGACUAUAAUCUUUGCUUCAAGUCUGCUUCCCGUAUCUAAUAUUUGAAAAGAAAGGGCAAGGAUUGUAUGACAAGAAAUUUCUAUCGGGCUGGCAUACACUCUGUUGCUAUGGGUAUAGAAGAAUGAGGAAGUACCAAGAAGGCCUUGUUAGCAUGUUAUACUAAAAUGAAGAUGAUAAUUAGAUUGCUGUCCAUGCCGCCUACUCUCUUGACUUUGGGUCCCAAGGAUGGAAGGAAGGAUGGAAGCCACACCAUGCUAAGAACUACCCAGUAGUAUUGAUCUAACUCGGAUGUUAAAUAUAAACCCAUGCUUUCCAGGUAUCCUUGAGCAAGAAUUUUGUCUCCAAGUGACAAGUUCAAGACACGCUUGCUCAGAACUUAAGUUCUGCUACUCUCCAAAGGGUGUUCUCCAGAGUAAAUAUUGCAGAGAGGCUUUAUCACAAUUCCUUUGCGAGGUGAGUUGGUUGCUGUUCUCUCUGACUGGAAGCUUUCUAUCAAUAUUUUCCCGUUCCUUUUCUCUUACCAGGGAGUUUUUACUGUGGGGUAGUUCUGGCUUGUUAAUAGUUUACCACCCUUACUUGGGCAACAUAGCCCAAGGUAACCCAAAAUGGCUGAUGUUGAUGCUGUUGAUAUAAGUCCAAAAUAUUGAUUGGUUUAAAACAAAUGAAUCCCUAUUUUUGUUAUUGCUGCUGCUAUUGUUGUUGUUACUACUGCUGUUGUAACUUAGUUCCCACUUGAAUUUUCUAAUCUGCCACCUGCUACCGCUUGCAAAACCUGUCCUGGAUCAUUUCCAACACCUGCCCAGUUGCAAGCAUGUGUAAAAUCUGAAUGGGCUCAAAAUGUUGGAAUACUGCAUCAAGGUUGUAGGAAGAGGAGCAGGUCUUGACUUUAUCAAAUCCUCCUGCUUAAAACCCCAACCCAAAAUGAAAGGCGAUACUUGCUAAAGAGCCAUAAUAAUAGCAGCCUAGAAAUGCUGAAAUCUCUUUAUUCUGAUUUUUAUCUUAUUCUUUCUGGAAAUGUUCACAUAAAAAUGGAAAGAUUGAAAAUAAUAAAUGAUGAGAACUUUACCUCA
rnacentral:lncRNA from 1 species